rnacentral:tRNA from 1 species
GCGUGAUUGGUUUAGUGGUAAAAUUCUCCGUUGCCAUUCGAGUAACGUGUCGGGGAGCCCUGGGUUCGAUUCCCAGAUCACGCA